rnacentral:tRNA from 1 species
GGGGGUAUAGCUCAGUGGUAGAGCUUGUGCUUAAUAUGCACGAGUUCCUGAGUUCAAUCCCAGUGCCUCUC